rnacentral:rRNA from 1 species
GACGAACGCUGGCGGCGUGCUUAACACAUGCAAGUCGAACGGUGAAGCUCCAGCUUGCUGGAGUGGAUCAGUGGCGAACGGGUGAGUAACACGUGAGCAACCUGCCCCUGACUCUGGAAUAAGCGCUGGAAACGGCGUCUAAUACUGGAUACGAGAAGGGUCCGCAUGGGCACUUUCUGGAAAGUUUUUCGGUUGGGGAUGGGCUCGCGGCCUAUCAGCUUGUUGGUGAGGUAAUGGCUCACCAAGGCGACGACGGGUAGCCGGCCUGAGAGGGCGACCGGCCACACUGGGACUGAGACACGGCCCAGACUCCUACGGGAGGCAGCAGUGGGGAAUAUUGCACAAUGGGCGAAAGCCUGAUGCAGCGACGCCGCGUGAGGGAUGACGGCCUUCGGUUUGUAAACCUCUUUCAGCAGGGAAGAAGCGAAAGUGACGGUACCUGCAGAAGAAGCACCGGCUAACUACGUG